UUCAAGAGUACGUGAAACUGCUUAGGGGUUAAGCCCGAUGAACCUAAAUAUCCAUAAUGAAAAAUUCAUCAUUAAUAAUAUAUUAAUUUAUUGAUAUAUGAAUGGUGUGCAAUUUUUUCAUUAAAGGACAUUGUAAUCUGUUAAUAUAUAUUAAUAUAUAUUUAUCAAAAGGUUUGUAAGAUAAGUUUAUUCAUUAUUUAAUUUUUUUCGGAAUAUUAAUGGAAUAAUAUCUAUGCAAUACCGGAUAAAUAAUUAACAGAUUUUUCAGUAUAUAAUGCUAACAUUUUUUUUAAAAUGUUAUAAUGAAAAUAUAAUCAUGUUAUUAUUGUUUUUAUUAUAUGCAUUUAUAUGAUUAACAAUGCAAUAGAUUUAGGAUACCUUCGGGACCCGUCUUGAAACACGGACCAAGAAGUCUAACAUGUGUGCAAGUCAUUAGGUAUUUAUAUAAAACCUAAAGGCGUAAUUAACUUAACUUAAUAUUAAGAUGGGAUCAUUAUAUAUUUAUUUUAUAAAUAUAAAAUCCAUCCCGGGGCGUUCUAUAUAGUUAUGUAUUUUAAUAUUUUAUAUUAUAUAUACCUCUAACUGGAGCGUACCUUUAGCAUAUAUGCUGUGACCCGAAA
rnacentral:rRNA from 1 species